rnacentral:rRNA from 1 species
AGUGAACGCUGGCGGUAGGCCUAACACAUGCAAGUCGAACGGCAGCACAGUAAGAGCUUGCUCUUACGGGUGGCGAGUGGCGGACGGGUGAGGAAUACAUCGGAAUCUACUUUUUCGUGGGGGAUAACGGAGGGAAACUUACGCUAAUACCGCAUACGACCUACGGGUGAAAGCAAGGGAUCUUCGGACCUUGCGCGAUUGAAUGAGCCGAUGUCGGAUUAGCUAGUUGGCGGGGUAAAGGCCCACCAAGGCGACGAUCCGUAGCUGGUCUGAGAGGAUGAUCAGCCACACUGGAACUGAGACACGGUCCAGACUCCUACGGGAGGCAGCAGUGGGGAAUAUUGGACAAUGGGCGCAAGCCUGACCCAGCCAUACCGCGUGAGUGAAGAAGGCCUUCGGGUUGUAAAGCCCUUUUGUUGGGAAAGAAAAGCAGCAGGUUAAUACCCCGCUGUUCUGACGGUACCCAAAGAAUAAGCACCGGCUAACUUUGUG